UCGAGCAGCGCUCUCCCAUGUCUACUUCCACCAGGACACAGGACAAAUGCUCAUUUGAUGUUCAAAUCAGCACAACGGGACGUGCCCUGUCCUUUGUGGUUUGGUAAUCUCCUUCUGUGAUCUGUGUUUCAUUGCUAUCCUGUGUGGUAAGAAUGAGACCAGGUGAUAUGAAUUCCAAAAUAGGACACUUCACUGCAAAACGGAUCACAGACCAACACAGAAACGGAAAUUAGAGAAACUCAUCUGUUUGCGGAGAAUUGGAUUCACUCGACUUUGGGCAAUGACCAGCAUCAACGCUCCCGCGUGCCUGGUUGCGCGUAACCAGUUCUACAGAAACCUUGGCCCGUCAACCGCAGAGAAAACUGCUUACGAUCAUUGCGCAACACAAUCAAAACAAAGACAAGUCACGGUUUGGGUGACCACAUCCACACAUCAAGGUCUAUCUGCAACAAUGGCCCGAGGAUGGUGGAUCAGUGUGAAUUUGGGCAAUCCCUCACCUACCACUAAACGCCCAAAUCGAACUGAAAGGGUGGUGAAGUAGAACUCCCACUCCUGUGGACAAGAGGAAACGUUUUUCACAAAACUGUGCAGUGAGAUUCUGUACAUGCAGCAUGUGUUCUGUGCCUUAAUGCACUACGAGGACAAUACUAAGAACCCAAUCCCCACUUUUGACAAGCAGAGAAAAAAAUCUGCUCAAACCUAUAUGUUCCCUGUUGCUAUUGCUUUCCCUCAGUUUCAAAUCCCUGGGCCAGAUUCCUCAGUUGCAUGCACAUGCAACAGAGGAAAAGUAAGUUUGUUUCCUUUCCUUGGACUGUUGCCAUGCUGCGGCUGGGAACCUUUUUCAUGCAAGUAACCAAUCAGAGCCUCAGCAGCCCUCCAGAGGGCCUCUCUUCCCUUCCCAGGACCUGUUGCUGGGAUGAGGAGGGGCGUAUGGAGCAGAAAAGAAUCAGCACUUGAAAGGAGGGUAUGAGUAGUGACCUGAAAAAACUGCACUAAAAGCACAUCUUGUAAUGAAAUGAUGCAUCAUUUUAAAGCCCUCGGGCUAGUGUUCUUUGUUCUCAUUUAAAUAUCUAAUUUUUGUUUUACAUGUUCUGUUGAAGAUGACCGGGCAUCGCCUCGCUCAUUUAUAUAAGAAAUUCCAUGCAACUUCCCUGUGCAAUAAGCUGGCCUCCCAGUCCCGGGUUCAGUCUUGACCUGAGUUCCAUUGAACCUAGUGUGUUCAAAUGUUUUGCCAAUACAAACUGGAUGAAUGUUGUACAAAUGAAUGUAGCAAUUGCGGACUUAUUUCAUAA